rnacentral:rRNA from 1 species
AUUGAACGCUGGCGGCAGGCCUAACACAUGCAAGUCGAGCGGAUGAAGGGAGCUUGCUCCUGGAUUCCGCGGCGGACGGGUGAGUAAUGCCUAGGAAUCUGCCUGGUAGUGGGGGAUAACGUCCGGAAACGGGCGCUAAUACCGCAUACGUCCUGAGGGAGAAAGUGGGGGAUCUUCGGACCUCACGCUAUCAGAUGAGCCUAGGUCGGAUUAGCUAGUUGGUGGGGUAAAGGCCUACCAAGGCGACGAUCCGUAACUGGUCUGAGAGGAUGAUCAGUCACACUGGAACUGAGACACGGUCCAGACUCCUACGGGAGGCAGCAGUGGGGAAUAUUGGACAAUGGGCGAAAGCCUGAUCCAGCCAUGCCGCGUGUGUGAAGAAGGUCUUCGGAUUGUAAAGCACUGUAAGUUGGGAGGAAGGGCAGUAAGUUAAUACCUUGCUGUUUUGACGGUACCAACAGAAUAAGCACCGGCUAACUUCGUG